CGCUCCUUGAAGUUACAUCUGCUCUUCUCUUUCAUCUCUCCUCUUGUUAACUGGGAGCUGUCACAUUAGGAGUUUUGGUGGAAGUGGCAUAAAGGAAGGAAAGAGAGACUGAUACACUGUGUCAUGACAAAACAGGCAGAGUAAGAGUGCCUUUGCAGUCACCUAUCAUCCAUGGACUACGUGCUGCUGGCCCAAAGCAUCAGGCCCUCUGGAAGGAUUCUGCGCAUGAAAAGUUGAACUGGAGCAAAAUCAAGACUUGAAGUCCCCUGUGUGGAAAAACAGGUGAAAAAAAGGUUAGCUGUGUUUGAGAAGGGGAAUGCAUCUCUCAUCUGUAUUACAGAUAGUCUGAUG
rnacentral:lncRNA from 1 species